rnacentral:rRNA from 1 species
AGAGUUUGAUCCUGGCUCAGGAUGAACGCUAGCUACAGGCUUAACACAUGCAAGUCGAGGGGCAGCAUGGUCUUAGCUUGCUAAGGCCGAUGGCGACCGGCGCACGGGUGAGUAACACGUAUCCAACCUGCCGUCUACUCUUGGACAGCCUUCUGAAAGGAAGAUUAAUACAAGAUGGCAUCAUGAGUCCGCAUGUUCACAUGAUUAAAGGUAUUCCGGUAGACGAUGGGGAUGCGUUCCAUUAGAUAGUAGGCGGGGUAACGGCCCACCUAGUCUUCGAUGGAUAGGGGUUCUGAGAGGAAGGUCCCCCACAUUGGAACUGAGACACGGUCCAAACUCCUACGGGAGGCAGCAGUGAGGAAUAUUGGUCAAUGGGCGAGAGCCUGAACCAGCCAAGUAGCGUGAAGGAUGACUGCCCUAUGGGUUGUAAACUUCUUUUAUAAAGGAAUAAAGUCGGGUAUGGAUACCCGUUUGCAUGUACUUUAUGAAUAAGGAUCGGCUAACUCCGUGCCAGCAGCCGCGGUAAUACGGAGGAUCCGAGCGUUAUCCGGAUUUAUUGGGUUUAAAGGGAGCGUAGAUGGAUGUUUAAGUCAGUUGUGAAAGUUUGCGGCUCAACCGUAAAAUUGCAGUUGAUACUGGAUAUCUUGAGUGCAGUUGAGGCAGGCGGAAUUCGUGGUGUAGCGGUGAAAUGCUUAGAUAUCACGAAGAACUCCGAUUGCGAAGGCAGCCUGCUAAGCUGCAACUGACAUUGAGGCUCGAAAGUGUGGGUAUCAAACAGGAUUAGAUACCCUGGUAGUCCACACGGUAAACGAUGAAUACUCGCUGUUUGCGAUAUACAGCAAGCGGCCAAGCGAAAGCGUUAAGUAUUCCACCUGGGGAGUACGCCGGCAACGGUGAAACUCAAAGGAAUUGACGGGGGCCCGCACAAGCGGAGGAACAUGUGGUUUAAUUCGAUGAUACGCGAGGAACCUUACCCGGGCUUAAAUUGCAGAUGAAUUACGGUGAAAGCCGUAAGCCGCAAGGCAUCUGUGAAGGUGCUGCAUGGUUGUCGUCAGCUCGUGCCGUGAGGUGUCGGCUUAAGUGCCAUAACGAGCGCAACCCUUGUUGUCAGUUACUAACAGGUUCCGCUGAGGACUCUGACAAGACUGCCAUCGUAAGAUGUGAGGAAGGUGGGGAUGACGUCAAAUCAGCACGGCCCUUACGUCCGGGGCUACACACGUGUUACAAUGGGGGGUACAGAAGGCAGCUACACGGCGACGUGGUGCUAAUCCCGAAAGCCUCUCUCAGUUCGGAUUGGAGUCUGCAACCCGACUCCAUGAAGCUGGAUUCGCUAGUAAUCGCGCAUCAGCCACGGCGCGGUGAAUACGUUCCCGGGCCUUGUACACACCGCCCGUCAAGCCAUGAAAGCCGGGGGUACCUGAAGUACGUAACCGCGAGGAGCGUCCUAGGGUAAAACUGGUGAUUGGGGCUAAGUCGUAACAAGGUAGCCGUACCGGAAGGUGCGGCUG